AACCAUAGAAACCUGCGGAGUACCUGCGGAGGGAUCAUUAUAGUAUAUGGAAUCUCCAUUCUAUAAACCCACUCUGCGUAUCUUGUAACUGUUGCUUCCAUGGGACUUGGCUCCGCCACACCGGCUUCACGGCUGGUGAGCGCCCAUGGAAGGAGAAACAAAACUCUUCUUUGAAAUGUAGUCAGUCUGAACAAGUUUUUAUAAACGUUAAAACUUUCAGCAAUGGAUCUCAGAUCGGAA
rnacentral:misc_RNA from 1 species